GCCUGGUGGUUCCCAGAGACAGCUCUGAAAUGCUUGUCUGUGGGUUUUGAUUAACAGGCAUAUAUUAAAUCUGCAAUUUUAUGCAUGGGAGCUGCCACCCUAAGCAGCCUUCCAUAGCCCGGUUGCAGAGACAGUU